rnacentral:rRNA from 1 species
UCUAACCGCCAGGGAAUUACGAGCCCAAUCUCAAAACCCAAAGGACUUGACGGUGUCCCACCCACCUAGAGGAGCCUGUUCUAUAAUCGACACUCCCCGAUAUACCUUACCCCUUCUAGCAUACCCAGUCUGUAUACCUCCGUCGCAAGCUUACCAUGUGAACGCAAGUGAGCCAAAAGAUUCUAUAUCAACACGUCAGGUCAAGGUGCAACUAACGAAGCGGAAAGCAAUGGGCUACAAUCUCUGCCCACAGAGCACACGAAAAACUGCAUGCAACACAGUAAUGAAGGUGGAUUUAGCAGUAAAAAGAAAACAGAGAGUUCUUUUUAAUCGGGCGCUGGGACGCGU